GACAGAGGGGGCAAGCGUUGCUCGGAAUUACUGGGCGUAAAGGGCGCGUAGGCGGGAUGGCAAGUCGGUCGUGAAAUCCCUCAGCUCAACCGAGGAACGUCGAUCGAUACUGCUGUUCUUGAGGAUUGCAGAGGAGACUGGAAUUCCCGGUGUAGCGGUGAAAUGAUGUAGAGAGUCGGGAGGAACACCGGUGGCGAAGGCGGGUCUGCUGGGCAAUUCCUGACGCUGAGGCGGCGAAAGCGUGGGGAGCAAACGGG
rnacentral:rRNA from 1 species